UAGGGUUUUUUUUCAGUUUAUCCAUUACAUUUUAUUUUAGAGACAAAAAUUAAACAAGUCGAAGUUUACUGACAACUUCCUUCAACGAAUAUAAAGCGUUGAAACUAAAAGAAACAUGUCGUUAAAAUGUGUGCUGUUAAAUGCAUCGCUUUCGGAUAUUUCAUAACAUUUGGUGCCAGAUGUUGUCCUGUCGGAUACAGCUGGCAGUCUGGUGGAUGUUACCUUGCUGUUGGUCUCAAUGUAUCCUGGAUUGAUGCUAGGAACUACUGUAAAGUAUUAGGCGGAGACCUGCUUUCUAUAGAGUCAUCUGCAACACAGCGUGUCACAGAAAUAGCUGUUAGUUAAUUCAGCGGAAAGAUUUUUCCAGGAAAGUUCUGGUUAGACUUCAACGACCUCUUAAACCCAAAGGACUGGAAAAGAAUGCGAGAUCAUCAUGCCUUAGUAUUCGAAAACUUGCAUCCAGCACUAGAAUCAACUGAAGUUGAACAUGCAGUUCACAACUGUGUAUACAUGGAUCAGGACUACCGUUGGUUACCAGAGCACUGCGGCAAAAAGAUGAACUUUGUCUGUUAUGCAUCAGGGUCUGUAUCAACUAGACAGCAUUCAGUCCUCCAGUAUGCAGAGAUUCAAAGAUCACUCUGAAGAAGACAGUGUACCUGACGUCACGAAUAAUCCGAAAAACCGCGUUGUGGAAAUUGAGAAAGAGGAAGAUUUAUUUUAUGAUCCUUUCGGUUGGUAUAUGAAAUAACGUUUUAUUUUCAAAACAGUUUUUACAGCUAUCGUGCGAUACUUGAAUAUUUUGUAGCUACUCAUAGACACAAUUUCUCAGAUCAGUGCCUAAUAGCUUUUCUCGUGCAGAUUCAGAAUGAAAAAAGUGAUGUUGCCUUAGAGGAAACUAGGUUAAAACGUAAAUGAGUGUUUAAACUUUUUCAUCUUAUCUGUAUUUGUAUCAGUUAUCGAUGUUUCCAUAUGCUUUCGAUCAAAAUAAAGGAAAAGUGCAAUUGUAAUAAAAUAGAUCAGAGUUGCCUGUGUUUCGUCACUAAAUGCAAUAGGGAACCGAUGUAAUAACAAUUUAUUUGUCGAUUAUUAUGAGUGUCUUUGUUGUAUGCAUUCGAAUUUUAGUACUAAAGCACUGAAAACAUGUUAAUGAAAAUGACUACAUCAACUAUAUCAAUACUCCGACUUCGUUAUAAAUAUGGUUAUUGUUUAAGAAGUACUGGAGUUCGCACAUACUCUUUAUUUAUUAACCGUUCCUGGCAGCUUGUAUGUAUUCUCAGGACCAUCUUAAAAAGAAUUACCCGACAGUUUGUAUAUCUCUGUUAUAAGUACAUUACUAGAAUACAGUGGUACCGUAUGGGACAACUCAACCAAGGAACACAAACUUAAGUAUAUUCAGAUAAAGAUGGCGAACAAUAAUAGCUGCAGUAUUCAUAAUGUUUAUAAAGCACUAUAACUGGAACCCCGAUAUACAAGAAGAAAACCUGUUUAUAUCAUGUCAUAAAAAUGGAACUUGAU
rnacentral:lncRNA from 1 species